UGACAGUGAAGCAAGUGGCAUCAUGUGGAAUGGCUGUAAUGAGGGAUGUCACAUCAGGGACAAUGGGUGAAAUGGGCACAAUUAAACUAUUCAGGGCUCUAAAGUCCUGAACUAAGCGAUAUGCUGGCCAGUGGUGUUGGGAGUGGGUCUGGUGUUGUUCUUGCCUACAGGGCAUAUUUUGAGAAAGGUGGGGUUGUUGGGGUGUGUGGGGUUUCCUGGGGUGUGGACACUCAUUCCUCCAGUGGCCACAUUGAAACAAGUGUUCCUGUCUAUUCCUCCUUGGUUACCCCUGCCCCUAUAACCCUGAUUUCCUUGUCUCCAUCCCCUUGCCCCUCUUUGACCACCCCUUCCACGGGCUUUAUGUGCUCCAUCCCAUCCUUGCUCUCAUCCUGUGUAGCUGGACAUAAUAUGUUGCAAUCCCUGAGCAUAAUAAGCAACCUUACUUUCCUAAAUCUUUUCUUAAUUCAAAACUACCUGCAUUUUCCUUUUCUAUAACCUUGGUAAGAAAAUCUGAGCUAUCCAAAUUGUCCCAGUCUGAAAUCAAUUGUUUCACAAGCAAAGAAUACUGUGGCAACAUAUUACCAAGGCAUGAUUGUAUUUUAAAGAUAUCUAUAUCAUCUCCAGACAUCAAACCUGCCUCAUCCUUCCAACACUUGUAAAAUUUCUUUACAAAAAUCAUAUUACCAAUCUC